GCGCCAGUUCGGAUUGGGGUCUGCAACUCGACCCCAUGAAGCCGGAAUUGCUAGUAAUCGCAGGUCAGCUAUACUGCGGUGAAUACGUUCUCAAGUCUUGUACUCACCGCCCGUCAACUCAAGGGAGUUGGGAAUACCCGAAGCUCAUCUUCGCGAUGAUCUACGGUAAGCUCAAUGACAGGGAGUAAGUCGUAACAAGGCACGGGUAGCGGAAGCUGCUCGUGGAACAUUUCAAUU
rnacentral:rRNA from 1 species